CAUAACCCCGGGAAACUGGGGAUAAUACCGGAUAUGUAAGGCUGCCUGGAAUGGUUCCCUAUUGAAAUGUUUUCACCCCUACAGAUGGAUCUCCGCCACAUUACGUAUUUGGCUGGGUAAAUGCCCACCACUCCACUAAUCUGUAUAGGUUUUGAGAGAAAAAGACCCGAGAUAGAAACUGAGACAAAGUUCCCCGCCCUACAGGGCGCACCACGCGCGAAACCUCUUCAAUGUGCGAAAAUGCGACGGGGGAAACCCAAGUGCCACUCUUAACGGGGUGGCUUUUCUUAAUUGUAAAAAGCUUUUGGAAUAAAAGCUGGGCAAGACCGGUGCCAGCCCCCCCGCUAACACCCCCACCUCAAGUGGUGGCCGUUUUUAUUGUGCCUAAAACGUUCGUAUACGGCUUGAUAAGUCUCUGGUGAAAUCUCACGGCUUAACCGUGAUAAUUGCUGGAGAUACUAUUCCGCUUGAGGCCCCGAGAGGUUAAAGAUACUCCCGGGGUAUGAGAGAAAUCUCAUAAUCCCGCGAGGACCACCUGUGGGGAAAGCGGCUCAUAGGAACAGAGCUGACAGUGAGUAGCACAAGCCCUGGGCGCGAACACGAUAUUAUACACGCGUAUACUCGGCCCUAAACAAUAUGCACUAUGUGUGUGGGAUGGCUCCGAGCUGCUCUCUUGCCCCACGGGAACUCUUUAAUCCACCGCCCUGUGAAAUACACUCGCACGACUGAGACAUAUAGGAGAUGUCGCGGGAGCACACCACCACGUGUAGCCUGUGGUGUUAUAUGUGUUCUACACCCGACAUCUCUCCCGGGCGACAGCGCAAUGUGUAGCGACGUUGAUGAACAUUGCUCGACAUUCUGAAAGAGAUGUGU
rnacentral:rRNA from 1 species